GGAGCGGUAUCGAAGUGGUCAUAACGGUCCUGACUCGAAAUCAGGUGUAGGGCAACCUACCGUGGGUUCGAAUCCCACCCGCUCCGCCA
rnacentral:tRNA from 1 species